rnacentral:rRNA from 1 species
GCUCGAGUGGCGAACGGUGAGUAACACGUGAGUAACCUGCCCUUGACUUUGGGAUAACUUCAGGAAACUGGGUCUAAUACCGGAUAGGAGCUCCUGCUGCAUGGUGGGGGUUGGAAAGUUUCGGCGGUUGGGGAUGGACUCGCGGCUUAUCAGCUUGUUGGUGGGGUAGUGGCUUACCAAGGCUUUGACGGGUAGCCGGCCUGAGAGGGUGACCGGCCACAUUGGGACUGAGAUACGGCCCAG